UUAGGGUUUCCACCGAAAAUAAAAAACAGUUCCUUUAGAACGUCCCCCCCCCCCCGGUCUUUUCCUCUCAAAUCAAUUCGUCGAGACUUACUGGAAAUCCAAAGAACUCUCUUACAUUGAUCUAAAGAAGGAGAGUUAAUUUAGUUAUGUCUGGAAGAAAUCGUGGACCACCUCCUCUUCCAAUGAAAGGUCCUCCUCAUCCCGGACUACGGCCUCCAGUACAUGAACCUCCAUAUGCAAGAGGGCUAGGACCAAUCCCCCCACACCCUGCCUUACUUGAUGAAUUGCGAGAAAACCAAUUUGGGUUGGGUCCUAGAGGCCUCCCUCCUCACCCUGCCAUCUUUGAGGAGCGUCUUGCAGCUCAAUUGCAAGAGAUUCAAGGCCUCCUAGCAGAUAACCAGAGGCUGGCUGCGACUCAUGUUGCAUUAAAGCAAGAAUUGGAGGUUGCUCAGCAUGAGUUACAUCGCAUGGCUCAAUAUGCAGAUUCUUUGAGGGCGGAGAAGGAUGUUCAGAUGAAGGAGAUGUAUGAUAAGUCAGUUCGAUUGGAGGUUGAUCUUCGUGGGGUGGAGGCCAUGCGAGCUGAGCUUGGCAAGGUUAAUGCUGACAUUAAGCAGCUUAAUGCUGUGAGGCAGGAUCUUACAGGUCAGGCUCAAGUCAUGAGUCAAGAUUUGGCUAGAUUUACUGGAGAAUUGCAACAGGCUCCUGCGUUGAAGGCAGAGAUUGAAAAUGUGAAACAGGAACUGCAUCGUGCAAGAGCUGCCAUCGAGUACGAGAAGAAAGGAUAUGCUGAGAAUUAUGAACAUGGUCAAGUAAUGGAGAAAAAAUUGAUCUCAAUGGCUCGGGAGUUGGAAAAACUUCAUGCAGAGAUUGCAAAUGCAGGGAAGAGAAAUCAUGCUGCUGCUGGUAGUGGUGGUAAUCCUGUAGUAGCUGGUGCUGGUUAUAAUUCAAAUUAUGGGAACCCUGAAGCUGGAUGUACUGGAAACACUUAUCCUGUCACCUAUGGCUUUAAUCCUGGUGGUGUCGAUGGUUAUCCUCAGUAUGGACCUGCUGCUGGUGCCUGGGGUGCAUAUGACAUGCAGAGAGCUCAAGGACAUCGCUAAUGUGAUUUUUACAAUCAUGCUAAGAUGAUUCAUCUAGUUUACGGAUGAGAACCUGGCGAAUUUUCUGUUUUUGCAAUUAUCCAGUGAUGUUGGAGUUCCAAUAGAUAAAAAUAAACCUAGGAUAUUUCAAGAAGAGUUGCAGCAAGAUAGGAAAUAAUUAGAAGUUAAAGA